CCUACGGGAGGCAGCAGUGGGGAAUUUUGGACAAUGGGCGCAAGCCUGAUCCAGCAAUGCCGCGUGAGUGAAGAAGGCCUUCGGGUUGUAAAGCUCUUUUGUCAGGGAAGAAACGGUGAUUUCUAAUACAGAUUGCUAAUGACGGUACCUGAAGAAUAAGCACCGGCUAACUACGUGCCGGCAGCCGCGGUAAUACGUAGGGUGCAAGCGUUAAUCGGAAUUACUGGGCGUAAAGCGUGCGCAGGCGGUUUUGUAAGUUUGUCGUGAAAUCCCCGGGCUCAACCUGGGAAUGGCGAUGAAGACUGCAAGGCUAGAAUCUGGCAGAGGGGGGUAGAAUUCCACGUGUAGCAGUGAAAUGCGUAGAGAUGUGGAGGAACACCGAUGGCGAAGGCAGCCCCCUGGGUCAAGAUUGACGCUCAUGCACGAAAGCGUGGGGAGCAAACAGGAUUAGAUACCCUGGUAGUCCACGCCCUAAACGAUGUCUACUAGUUGUCGGGUUUUAAUUAACUUGGUAACGCAGCUAACGCGUGAAGUAGACCGCCUGGGGAUACGGUCGCAAGAUUAAAAACUCAAAAGAGUAAGUACGGACGUGAGAACGUGCGAACGACGACAACCGAGGGAGGUUAAGG
rnacentral:rRNA from 1 species